CAGCCGCCGCGGUAAUACGGAGGGGGCUAGCGUUGUUCGGAAUUACUGGGCGUAAAGCGUACGUAGGCGGUUUUGUAAGUUAGAGGUGAAAGCCCGGAGCUCAACUCCGGAAUUGCCUUUAAGACUGCAUCACUUGAACGUCGGAGAGGUGAGUGGAAUUCCGAGUGUAGAGGUGAAAUUCGUAGAUAUCGGAAGGAACACCAGUGGCGAAAGCGACUUCCUGGUCGAAUACUGACGUUCAUGUGCGAAAGCGUGGGGAGCAAACAGGAUUAGAUACCCCCGUAGUCCCUGUCUCUUAUAC
rnacentral:rRNA from 1 species